AUGUAAUGAAAUUCCUAUAAUGUUAAAGCAUUGGAUCCCAUUAGAACUCCACAGUUAAGCAUUCUUGGGAUAAAUUACUACUGGGAUGAGUGACCUCCUAGGAAGACUUAGUGUUUUACAUG
rfam:Picea glauca, whole genome shotgun sequence.